GAACAAUGACCAAGACAGUAUGUGUGUACAUUGAGAGUAGGUAUAUGCAUAUGAGGGCAGGCGCAACAGAGACCAGAGGCAUCAGAUCCCCCUGGGGCUCAAGUUACAGUCAAUGAUGAUGCUGUCCACCUUCUGUGCACACAGGAACCUGUCAAACCAGUUAUCCUGAUGUCCAACAAAUAUUCUUUGCAACAGUAGCAAAGAGAAAGUGUCAACUACCUGCCAGAAGCCAAAAAGAGUCAUUUCACAUUCUGUAUUAUGAAGUGGGAGAUUGAAAAUAAUUUGAAGUUUCAAAUUAAGAUUAGAAAUGCAUU